rnacentral:rRNA from 1 species
CCUACGGGCGGCAGCAGUGAGGAAUAUUGGUCAAUGGACGCAAGUCUGAACCAGCCAUGCCGCGUGCAGGAAGACGGCUCUAUGAGUUGUAAACUUCUUUUGUACGGGAGUAAACGCAGAUACGCGUAUCUGUCUGAAAGUAUCUUACGAAUAAGGAUCGGCUAACUCCGUGCCAGCAGCCGCGGUAAUACGGAGGAUUCGAGCGUUAUCCGGAUUUAUUGGGUUUAAAGGGUGCGUAGGCGGUCUGAUAAGUUAGAGGUGAAAUCCCGAGGCUCAACUGUGGAAUUGCCUCUGAUACUGUUCGGCUUGAGAGUAGUAGAGGUAGGCGGAAUGUAUGGUGUAGCGGUGAAAUGCUUAGAGAUCAUGCAGAACACCGAUUGCGAAGGCAGCUUACCAGGCUACUACUGACGUUGAGGCACGAAAGCGUGGGGAGCAAACAGGAUUAGAUACCCCUGUAGUC